AUCAAAGAGGAUUUUUCUGGCUGUAGACUUCACUGGGCUUACAUCUAUUUACCUAUUAAACCCAGUGCAGGUACUUGGUGCAGGGUUUCUUCCGUCUUCCAUCACCACUCCUUAAGCAAGAAGUAGCAAGUUAUCCUGGCUGAUGCAGUGAAAUAGCUGAAGGGCAGGAACAUGACUACAUCCAAUCCUCGGCCAUCAGCUCUUUGCCUGGAGGUGACAGGGAGUAGAAGAGAUUCUGAAAAUCUGUCAAUUAUAAGCAUGCAUUUUGGGACAACUGUGAGAACAAGCCUGUGCUAAGUGUUUGAUCAGAAAAAAACGUGAGAGGCUGUGUUGAAGUUAAGACUGACUGCACAUGCACGCAUUUCCAUUGUGGAUCUACUGACCAUCAGGUAACAAUUUCUCAUCAGUAAAGAACAGUUCUUGCGAAUAAUCUUGAUCAUACAGUUGUUGUAGUU
rnacentral:lncRNA from 1 species